GUGGCAAAGCUUCUGAGCUUGAACACCCCAGCCAAAUGAGUCAGGAAAAUGAACAUUCCCACAGAAGACUUGAACAACACUUCUCUUUCCCUGCUGUGAUAUUCAGAUCUGACAGAUGGAAAAAUAGCAACAGUUUAUCAGAAUGGCUGAGUAGGGUUUCAGAUGCGCAUAACAUCCUCAGAUCUUCUGCUCGAGCCUUCUUGACUGGUCCCAGCUGUUGCCUCUUGUGCCUCUACUCCUGCUGCCCCAUUGGCACAGUCAUCCCCCAGUGGGUAAAGGAGGAGAGCUGUAGAAAAUGGAUUCCAAAUUAA
ensembl:lincRNA